AUAAUACAAGGUGGAGAGGAAAAAAAAGUGUGUAUGUUUGCACAAAAGGACACUGCCUAUAUUUUAAGUCAUAGAUCUUAAUUUGUGAAACUUUUAAUAUCCUACAUUCACAAACACUCAUAGAAACCAUUGCACUCAGAGUGGGCGGGCUUAAAACCCCUCCCACUCACCCAUUGAUUAAACUGAUGUUUCCCAUGGCCAAUCAGAGCAAGAGGUCACCUUUAACGGCCUUUAACCUUUAAUGCAAAUGAGAGGCACACAGGUAACAGGCCAGUCAGUCUUGUGUAAUGAACCUGUACCUAUAGUUAACUGAAGCGUGUCUAUUUUGCUCUGGAGUGAAGAUUAAAGUUUCACCUGGUGGAGCUAAAGUUUUGCUAGCUAACGUUACGUCACCACUCAACGUGAUAAGUAAGCUCAUGCAAACAAGUUAGCUAGCCUGGAUGAUUUAUGACAGUAUUUAUAUAUGACGGGUCAGCCGAUGAAGACUUCCUUUCCUCUCGUUUGCUCUGAUGGCGUGGGAAAACUGACUGAAUCUGUUUAUCUCUGUCGAGGACACGGUCUACUUUUUCUUCGUGAAAUCGUCCCGGACCCUGGAAAGGACUGUGGUGGAAGUGGAAUCCUUCCCUUUAAGACCUGUCCAAGGUUUGUUCCAGUCCUGUCUGUGUUCCACAAAAUACGUGUUGACAAACAGAAACGGGGCCGCUACGCUGGGACACUGGGAUGAAGUAUGACGCACGAUGACGACCUUGAAGAGAAGUAAAUAUCUACUUAAGUGUUUCCUCCUUGCGUGCCGUGCUCUCAGUGGUGGUGUAGCUCAGGUGCCGUGAGCGGUUAGUGAUGCUCUGAACAAAGGGUGAAGUGUGUGGGAGAGCCUCCAUGAAAGGCUGGUGGAUUCAUUUUUUCUCAGUUUAUCCUGGAUCUCAGCCAGAAAUAGUCCUGUCUGUAAUUUCAUUACCACUAUUUAGUACAUCUAUUUAUUUAGUGACAUCAGCACCGGCGUUUACUCACCGUGCAAGCGAGAGACGUCGGCACUAACUGUGAUUUUUAAUAAGAUGUGUACUUAGUUCCUGUUCUAAUUAGCAUCAUGCCGAAGCCGACUAAUGCACAUUUGAGCUGACAUUGCUUAUAUAAUUUAACAUUACGGGUUUUAAUAAAACACCCUCUUCAUGCUUCAUUUCCACUGAUCACCAGCUGCUGGGUCAAUUGAAUAAUUAAGAAUUUAAUUAAGCUUCAGUUUGGAUCACAAUCUUCUAACACAGGCAAGCCUUGUACUCUAAGCAUCAGUAGCAGAGAUCAAAUAGGGAAGGGAUGAUGUGCCGAGCAAGAAUUUAGAGAUGUGAGCUCUAUCAUGCGCUGAAAUGGAAAGGUCUGAAGUGGCUUAUCUAUUUGAUCUCUGAAUCCUCUGGUUCCACUCCACAGAGUUGGGCUGUUAUUUUUCUGCUUGCCCAUAUUAUACUGCAGAUUCCAGUGCAACCCUCUAAGGUAUGCAGCAUUUCUGUCUGUAUUAUCCCUUUGGACUGCUCUCCUCAUCAUUGCCAGUAUGUAAUACAAUACAUUCUAUUGACUUCUUGGGAAGCAGCUCUCACAGUGAAUUGACUCUGUUGCUAUGGCCUAAAGUAGGCUAAUUUCACUAAAUGGUGCAUGAGUAAAUGUUAAAUGAAGCUACUGAACCCAGCAAUAUGAGACACUGUGUGUCUCCAUAUGUUAACACACAUGUUUUAAUCUUUGUUGUGUGUGCAGUGCUGACUGUCUAUUGUAAUUGGCUGUACUAUUAAACUAUAAAGUGUCUCAGCACAUACACAUCCACUGUGUUACAAUACUGCAUCCUGCAGUUCUAUGAUAUUUGAAUAUGUUCAAAUAGCCAAGCACACAGUGAUGGAGAAGACCUCACAGGAGUUUGUCAUCUAAAAUAAUAUUAAAAAUCAGAAUUUGAAGUGUUGAAUAUGUAGGUGCCAUGGGUAAACACAGCAGCACCAUUUGUUGGACCAACAGUGGUUUAAAGGGGAACCACACUGUGUUGGUGCAAGCAACUCAUUUUGGCUAUCAAAGUGGAUUCAUUAUCAAAAGAUAAUAAAUAAUAACUUCAAUUAACAUUAAAGUUCCCCGGG
ensembl:lncRNA